UGAUGACACUUUCUCCGGAAUCUCUGUAGUCUCUGUGAUGACUGUAUUGAACCCUUUUCCAGCUGAUGACUGUAGUGGCUUCACU
ensembl:snoRNA